rnacentral:rRNA from 1 species
AUUGAACGCUGGCGGCAUGCCUUACACAUGCAAGUCGAACGGCAGCGGACCUUCGGGUGCCGGCGAGUGGCGAACGGGUGAGUAAUAUAUCGGAACGUACCUUUCAGUGGGGGAUAACGUAGCGAAAGUUACGCUAAUACCGCAUAUUCUGUGAGCAGGAAGGCAGGGGAUCGCAAGACCUUGCGCUGAUUGAGCGGCCGAUAUCAGAUUAGCUAGUUGGUGAGGUAAAGGCUCACCAAGGCGACGAUCUGUAGCGGGUCUGAGAGGAUGAUCCGCCACACUGGAACUGAGACACGGUCCAGACUCCUACGGGAGGCAGCAGUGGGGAAUUUUGGACAAUGGGCGCAAGCCUGAUCCAGCCAUGCCGCGUGAGUGAAGAAGGCC